rnacentral:rRNA from 1 species
UACGUAGGGUGCGAGCGUUGUCCGGAAUUAUUGGGCGUAAAGGGCUCGUAGGCGGUUUGUCGCGUCGGGAGUGAAAACACCGGGCUUAACUCGGUGCUUGCUUUCGAUACGGGCAGACUAGAGGCAUGCAGGGGAGAACGGAAUUCCUGGUGUAGCGGUGAAAUGCGCAGAUAUCAGGAGGAACACCGGUGGCGAAGGCGGGUCUCUGGGUAGUAACUGACGCUGAGGAACGAAAGCGUGGGUAGCGAACAGG